ACCGAAUAGAUACCCAGGUAGUCCACGCCGUAAACUAUGAACGCUAGCCGUUGGCGAGCUUGCUCGUCAGUGGCGCAGCUAACGCAUUAAGCGUUCCGCCUGGGGAGUACGGCCGCAAGGUUGAAACUCAAAGAAAUUGACGGGGGCCGCACAAGCGGUGGAGCAUGUGGUUUAAUUCGACGCAACGCGCAGAACCUUACCAGGGUUUGACAUCCCGAGACCGCUGCUGAAAGGCAGUUUCCCGCAAGGGCUCGGAGACAGGUGCUGCAUGGCUGUCGUCAGCUCGUGUCGUGAGAUGUUGGGUUAAGUCCCGCAACGAGCGCAACCCUCGCCUUUAGUUGCCAUCAUUAAGUUGGGCACUCUAGAGGGACCGCCGGCGACAAGCCGGAGGAAGGUGGGGAUGACGUCAAGUCCUCAUGGCCCUUACACCCUGGGCUACACACGUGCUACAAUGGCGGUGACAGUGAGCAGCUAACUCGCGAGAGUAUGCUAAUCUCCAAAAA
rnacentral:rRNA from 1 species